GCAGGGAGAAGGAGGAGGAGGAGGAGGAGAGGAAAAAAGGAAGAGGAGGGAGCAGUGGUCCUAGGAAGAGGAGGAAGAAUACUGUGCUCCGUAUGGCAGUGAAAGGCCCAGGCGGAGGCCCAGACUUGGUGCAAAGGCAGGAUAGGAUCAUCGGCAGCUGAGGCCUGUACACCGUGCUCUGGACUGGAAACUGGGCGGUCAAGGUUAGCUGGCUGUGGAGCCUAAGCUCCGCCGCCGCCGACACUGCCGCUGCUGCUGCUGCUGCCGCUGCAGCCGCUGCCGCCGACUUCGAAAACUCCCUCUGACUUGGACCUGUGCCACUGUGGUCCCGGCAACGGCAUUAAACAGAAGGAAACAGACUGGGGAUUCCGUCAUUUCAAGAGGAGGAGAGAGAGAGGGAGAAAGGAAAGCAUUGAGAGCAGACAGGAAAGAAAGUUUUUUUUUAAAUUAUUAUUUAUUAAUUUUUUUUUUUACCAAAAGCUCUCACCAUUCCAAUAUCUGCUUACUCUCUAGCCUCUUCUAACAACAUAAGGGUGGGCUAACUGUGAGAGUUGACCAGAGAGCAGAGAGAAGGAGAAAGAAGAUGGAAAUUCUUCAUGCAAAGUCAUUCAAAUUACUCUGUUGUCAUUAAGACUGAAAAACAGCCGAAAAUCCCAAUGGAUUUGAUGCUUAAGGAGGGUGGUAAGAAGGUUUUGCUGCCCUGCUGCCCCCUAGCGGCGUAUUCAAUUUGGUCACCUUACGGAUUUGCCUGCCUCCUGGUGGCAUUAAAUCUUUCCACUGGCUAUUCUGCCAAAGAUGAAGAGUAGGGGCAGAAUCCUGUGCAAACUGUUCUUCAUUAGAGGGGGAAUGAUAUUUAUAUCUGAUAUGAAACUGGUAUAUUCAUAAAGUUUUAAAUUGUAUGAUACAUAAACAACAACAACAACAAAAAUCAAUAAAUGUAAACCCCCAAGGACAGAAGACAUGUUACACAUGAUGUGAUUUUCAACAUCUAUUAGCAGUCCUUCAAUCAAACAUAAUUCAUAUUAUUGAAAUAAAGAAUUUUCAGAUUUCUCUA